GUGGGGAAUAUUGGACAAUGGGCGAAAGCCUGAUCCAGCCAUGCCGCGUGUGUGAAGAAGGUCUUCGGAUUGUAAAGCACUUUAAGUUGGGAGGAAGGGCAGUAAGUUAAUACCUUGCUGUUUUGACGUUACCAACAGAAUAAGCACCGGCUAACUUCGUGCCAGCAGCCGCGGUAAUACGAAGGGUGCAAGCGUUAAUCGGAAUUACUGGGCGUAAAGCGCGCGUAGGUGGUUUUGUAAGUUGGAGGUGAAAUCCCCGGGCUCAACCUGGGAACGGCCUCCAAAACUGCAUGACUAGAGUACGGUAGAGGGUAGUGGAAUUUCCUGUGUAGCGGUGAAAUGCGUAGAUAUAGGAAGGAACACCAGUGGCGAAGGCGACUACCUGGACUGAUACUGACACUGAGGUGCGAAAGCGUGGGGAGCAAACAGGAUUAGAUACCCCAGUAGUCC
rnacentral:rRNA from 1 species